GGGUCAUGACACGUGUUGCCUGGGGUACCUAUACCCUCCCCAGACCUUAGCACAUCUCCUGGGGGUACUCCCAGCCUCAGCACAUCCCAUGAGGGUACUAAUCCUCCCCCUAACCCCAGCACAACCCCUGGGGGUAUCCCUGCCCCAGGCCACAGCACAUUUCCCAGGGCUACCAGCACCAGGGUGUGACUGAGAUACUUAUUUUGGCUGUGGCUGGAGUACCCACUCUGAUCACUCCAGUCACCCAGGUCACCCAAGCCUGGCAUGGGCUGGGGCGCAGUCCCUGCAACAAUGUAGAGCCCUGCCUUGCCCACACCUGCAAUGUGGGCAGUGCUGAAGCCUGAGGAACUCUUCACACCAGUCGGUGCAACACAGUGAACAGCAGCGCAGAGACAGCGUGGGGCAAACUUGCUGUCAGCUGCUGUGGCCAGAUGACAUCGGAGCAGGCUGGAAUUUGGGGACAGCAGUGCUUGCAGCCCCCCCUUUGAUGUCCCAACCUCCCCAGUGCACUCCCAAAUCCUGCGGAGCACAGGCAGGUGUGGACUGAGGACUGGGAGUGCGGUUUGGAGGGGGCAGAGGAGCUCCUGGGUGCCAGCACCCUCCCAGGGUGAGGUGGGGAAAUGUCAGCAAGCUUAUGUGGCCCCCUCCAGGGAGUCCCCCCUGCAACCUCCCCAGGACCCACAGACUUCCCAGCACUCUAAAGGAUAUGAUCCUGGAGCUAGGGUGUCUAGGUGGUCCCCUAAGGGACGCCCUAAGGGGGUCCUGGGAGUGGGGUUGGGUUUGUCCUGAGUGAUGGUGCUGGAUGGGACCUCGUGUGUAGUCAGGAUGAGAAUGGGAGGGCUGGUGGCUGGGCUCCCCGUCCAGCUUCCCAUCCCUCUGCCCCAGAGGGCUUUUUGUGGUAAGGUGGGUGGAGGUGAUCCCUCUGCCUGUGCUCUGACCCCUACCUGGUGCUGAUGCAUCAGGGAGUGGCCUGGGAUGCUGAGCUGGGCAGGGGGCUCAGGCAGCUGAUGUGGGGUGCUGGCAUGCCAUGGGGUGGGCAGCACCUGUCCCUAGGGCUCCUUGGACUCCGGAUCAACAGUGUCCAUCCUGACACCCCAGGAACUGUUCCUACCACUGCAUUUCUGCACCCAGAUAGUCACCCAAAUCCUCCUGGAGCCACUCUCCAUCCUGCCCUGGCCAGGAGGCUCGCCGGGCAUGAUGAGGCCGACGGCUGCCACUUUGGUGCAAGCUGUGCUGGCUUGGUGCUGGACGUGCCAUGGGUUUGGUACUUGCCGUGCUGGUUUGGUGCCAGCUGUGCCGUGGGUUUAGUGCCGUCCGUGCUGGGUGUUUGGUGCCAGCUGUGCCAGAGUUCUGGUACUGGCCGUGCUGAGGAUUUGGUACUGGCUGUGCUGAGGAUUUGGUGCCGGCCAUGCUGAGGAUUUGGUGCCGGCCAUGCCGCUGCUCCGGCCAGCUCAGGAAGUUUUUGCUGCAGUGCAGGAAGUGCCGGGGUGAGAAGCUCCGCUCCCCGCCGGCCUCCCCCAGCCCUCCCCGUGCUGCCGAUCGGUCCCACCGGGGUUCCCGUCACCUGCCCAGCAUCCCUGCCAAAGAGGAGCUCCCCAUCACUGAAAGAGCACCCAGUGUCACCCUGUCCCCCCCGUUUCCCCUGCCUCGCACGAAGACGCCAGCCCUGACGCCACCAGCGCUCCCCUCCAAGGCCACCCUUCCCUUUGUGCCGGAGUUUGAUGACUCAGACUACGAGGACUCGGCGUGGGAGGAGGAAUUAGCCAGACCGACGGGGGAGAUGGCCAAGGAGGAUGCUGAGCCUAGGAUGGGGCGACCACGGUCCCUGCGUUUCAACAGCCUCUUCAGUGAAGACGAGUUCGGCGAGGACCACCCCGAUGCACCCCCUGCCAAUGGUGGCAGCAGCUGGAGUGACAGAGACCCCAGCUUGCAUCCGCCUGCACCUGCCUGCUUCCCUGGCAGCAGCCUCGGCCCACUCAGUGACAGCAUGGAUGGCACCAGUGCCACCACCCCGCUUUCACCCACCAUCAGAGCAGGGUGGCUGGACAAGAACCCACCACAGGGGUCCUACAUCUACCAGAAACGCUGGGUGAAGCUUGACGCUGAUUACCUCCGCUAUUUUGACAGUGAAAAGGAUACCUACUCCAAGCGGCUCAUUCCCGUCUCCUCCAUCUCCCGCGUCGGCAGCGUCGGGGACCAGAAAUUUGAGGUUGUCACCAACAACCGCAACUUUGUGUUCCGGGCUGAGAAUGAUGCAGACCGCAACGAGUGGAUACAAACCCUGCAGCAGAUUGCAGAGGAGCGGAAGAGCAAAGCUCCAGAGAGGACAUUGAUGUCCUCAGCCACUGACAGUGCCACUGAGCUAGCCGAUAAGAGUGGCUUCCUGGAGCUACGGGGCUUUAAGCACAAGCUCUUUGUGGUGGUGGCUGGAGACAAAGUGUUCCUUUACAAGAAUGCAGAGGACUAUCGGCUGGGGAUUGGCAUCACCUACAUAGAGAUGAAUGUGGGGAACGUCAAGGAGGUGGAUCGCCGGGGCUUUGACCUCACCACACCAUACAGGAUCUUCAGCUUCUCUGCUGACUCAGAGCAGGAGAAGGAGGAAUGGGUGGAGGCCAUGCAGCAGUCCAUCGCUGAGGCACUCUCCAACUCUGAGGUGGCCGAGAGGAUCUGGGCAGUGGAGUCCAACCGCUUCUGUGCCGACUGUGGCUCCUCCAAACCCGACUGGGCCUCCAUCAACCUCUGUGUCGUCAUCUGCAAGAGAUGUGCAGGGGAACACCGGGGAUUGGGGCCUGGCAUCACCAAAGUCCGGAGCCUGAAGAUGGACAGGAAGGUGUGGACUGAGGAGCUGAUCGAGCUCUUCCAGCAGUUUGGCAACAUGAUGGCCAACCAGUUUUGGGCUGCAAAUGUGCCUCCCAGUGAGGCCAUUGGCCCCACCAGCGGCAGCCAGGAGAGGAGGCGCUUCCUCAUCGCCAAAUACCGGGAGGGCAAGUACCGCCACUACCACCCACUCUUCGGCAACCAGGAGGAGCUUGACAGGGCUCUGUGUGCGGCCGUCACCACCAGUGAUCUGGCAGAGACGCAGGCUCUGCUCUUCUGUGGGGCAUCGGUGACCUGUGACACCGGGGACCCCCAGUGCCCAACACCCCUGGCCCUGGCUGAGAGAAGUGGGCAGCGGCUGCAGAUGGAGUUCCUGCUCCAGAACAAAACCUCAGAGCCGCCACGCCUGGAGAUGGUGGGCAGUGAGGAGAAGCCCUACUCUGUGCACCUGCCCUCCAUUACCCACAAUGGCUUCCUCUACAAGACUCCCUCCAUGGCUAAGCCCAUCAGUGAGCGGAAGGGCCUGGAAGAGUUCAGCCGGCGGUGGUGCACGCUGCAGGAUGGUGUGCUCAGCUACUAUGAGAACGACCGCAACGCUGUGCCCAAUGGUGAGAUCAGGGUGGAGGAAAUCGUGUGCCUGGUGAACAACCCACUCCAUGCCCAUGGGAUCGAGAGCACGUUUGAGGUGUACACCGAGGCAGAUCGACUCUAUCUCUUUGGGGUGGAGAGCCCUGACUCUGCUCGAGAAUGGCUCAAGUCUAUUGCCAAGUCAUUUGUCCACCCCCGCGCUGAGGAGCUGCUGGCACUGGACUUUGAGCGGCUUGGCCGACUGCAUUACAAGGGGGGUCUCACCCUGGAGCAUGCCCAGGAGGGCUGGUUUGCCCUGGUCGGCUCCAUGCUCCAUGUCUGCUCUGAGGAUGGCCAUCGGCAGGAGCCUCUCCAGCUGCGCAAGCUGCAGGAGCUCUCCAUCCAGGGGGACCAUGAAGUUCUUGUGCUGGUGGAGAGGCGGAGGACACUGUACAUCCAAGGGGAGCGGAAGCUAGAUUUCCUGGGCUGGGUCCACGCCAUCCAGAAGGCUGCAGGCAGCUCGGGAGACACCUUGUCGGAGCAGCAGCUGACAGAGUCGGACGUCCCACUGCUAGUGGACCGCUGCAUUGACUACAUCACCCAGUGCGGGCUGACGUCUGAGGGAAUCUACCGCAAGAGUGGGCAGAACUCCAAGACCACCAGCCUUCUGGAGGUGCUGCAGCGGGAUGCGCGCCGCGUCCGCCUGAAAGAGGGCGAGCACCAGGUGGACGAUGUGGCCAACACCCUCAAACGCUUCUUCCGUGACCUUGGGGAUGGGCUGUUCACUCGGCGGUGGGCCCCAGACUGGCUGUGGGCCACAGCGCUGGAGGAUGAGGAGGCAAAGGUUGGCAAGUACCGGCAGCUCCUGGCUGCCCUCCCACCAGUGAACCGGGCCACGCUGAAGGCACUCAUCAAUCACCUCUUCCGGGUCCAGUGCUUCUCUGGGGAGAACCAGAUGAACACACACAACCUGGCCAUUGUCUUUGGGCCCACACUCUUCCAGACGGAUGGGAAGGACUACAAGGCAGGACGUGUGGUGGAGGACCUCAUCAGCCACUAUGUGGAGAUCUUUAAUGUCAAUGACCAAGAGAUGAAGAAGCAGCAGGACGAAAUCACAGCCAUCAUGAAGAUGCGGGAAGCAUCAUCCAGUGGAACACAGCAAGCUGGGGACUUCAUCUGCACUGUCUACCUGGAGGAGAAGAAGACAGAGACAGAGCAGCAUGUCAAGAUCCCAGCCACGAUGACAGCUGAGGAGCUCACCUUCGAGAUCCUGGACCGGCGGAAAAUUGUUAUGAAGGAGAAGGACUACUGGAGCUGCUUCGAAGUGAAUGAGAGGGAAGAGGCAGAGCGGCCCUUGCAUUACUCGGAGAAAGUUCUGCCCAUCCUGCACUGCCUGGGGACAGAGAGUUACCUGGUGGUGAAGAAGCAGAUGUCCAUGGAGAAUAUGCUCCUCUACCUUGCCAGCAGAGUGGGUGACUGCAAGCAUGGCAUGAUGAAAUUCCGGGAGGAGAGGAACCUGCUGGGGCUUGGGCUGAGCACUGGCUUCCACGAUCGCUACUUCAUCCUCAACCACUCCUGGCUGCGCCUAUACAAGGAAGUGCGGAGCCUGAGGCAGCGGAGCCCCCCCUUGGAGAGCAGUCACAAGCCGGAGAAGGAGUGGCCUGUCCGAAACCUGAAGGUCUACCUGGGCGUUAAAAAGAAACUUCGACCCCCGACAUGCUGGGGCUUUACAGUAUUCUACGAAAACGAGAAGCACGAGAAGCAGCAAUGGUACCUGUGCUGUGACACCCAGGCCGAUCUGCGGGAGUGGUUCGCCACCUUCCUCCAGGUGCAGAAUGGGGGUGCCCUGUGGCCCUCGGAGCGUCCCAAGAUGCGGGCGGCACGGCCACAGCAGGAUGCCAGGUUGGGUAACAUCUCCCUCAUCCCGCUGCGGGGCAAUGAGAGCGAGAUGAGGAACAGUGUGGCUGCUUUUGCUACUGACCCCCUAACUGUGAGUGAUCUGGGGGCACUGGUGGUCCUCCAUGUGGGGCUGCAUCCCCCCUGCAUCACAUGAUAGGGGGUCCCGGUCUCCAAACCUGGGUGGGGGAUAUCCUGGCUCCCAUUCCUGCUUCCAUACCUUAUGUACUGCAUCAUCUCCAGUGAUGGAUCUGGGGGGGCAGGCUGAUCCUUUGGGGACUGGCGGGGUCUCCUGUGUCCAGGGGGGUCCCAAACCAUGUGAUGCAAGAAGAGGGGAUGCUGCCAUGCUCCUGAUUUUUUCCUCUAACAGGCGUGGAUUUUCUGUCCUAGUCACAGAUCAGCUCCCCAUCCUGGUGUCUGUCUGUCUGCAACAGCUGUCCUGCCUGGGGGCUGUCACCCCUUGGGUGUCCCCCAACCAUGUGGGUGCGGGUGCUGGUGUCUUGCCCAGCCACGGGGCUGGCAGUGGGACAGAGACGAUCCCACUGCCUCCAAGCCAGUCGCUUGGGCCUUCGUUGCUGUUAUAAACCGGGGGACAGGGCCAUGCCAGGGGAAUACCCCAGUGGCAUCGGUUGGGCAUCAUCCAAUGGGUGCCCAGGGAUGCCCCAAGGGCAGAGAGCAGCAUCUUUGCUGCCCUGGAACCCCUGCACAGGCUCAGGUUUAUAACGGGGGGCAGCCGGAAAGCCUCCAGGGGCUUUGCUGUGGGCUGUGCUUCGCAGUGUGCAUGUGGUUGUGUGGUCUGGUACAGGGGACCAGCGCACCAGGGCUCCCAGGGGACAGUGGGUGAGUGUCCCCUGCCACGGGGCCAGCAUGGGGAGGGGUGCUGGGACAGCAGUGACCCUGGGGGGACCAUGGUUUCUCUUGCUGGGGGUUUUCCCUGUGUCCCCCUGGGUACCAUGCUGCCAGUGAAGCCCAGACACAGAGGAGGAGGCUGAGGAUGAAAGGUGAUCUGUCUGCCCUUUGUCCCCAGCUCCUGCGGAACGUCUGAGCUGGAGAACUGACAUGCCAGUUCAUUUCCAAGUGGGGCAGCCCUCGGGGUCCUGCACCAGCCCUGCACCCUGGCACCUGCCAGGGGUCUUGCUGCCUCCGGAGCCUCCACUGGGCCCUCUCACCUUCCACUGCGGGGACCAAGGGCAGCCAGGAGGGGAAAUGGCAGCGAGGCCACCCCCCACCCCACCCCAGCAGAGCUGGGCUUGGGAGCCAUUGCCAGACAGCCCAUGGGGUGUCAGUCUCCUGACUCUGUGCCCCAGCUGCCUUUGGCCACCGCUUCUUUUCCCAGCUCCAGGAGGAGAAGCAGAGCCUGGCUGGGAGCUGCAGUUGAGGGCUUUUACGUUUCCUCUUCCAUCCCCUAUUUUUAAGUCUUUCUCCUCUAAAAUGAUAAGGCAGGUGGGAGCUGCCCUUCCUGUGGGAUGCCAGACGAGCCCUUCCCAUGGGAUGCACACCUGGCCCCAGGCACCGGCAUCAUCAUACUCCCAUCACUCCUGGGGAAGGGUCCUCUCCAUGCCGGGUAGGGCAGGAUGACAAGAGCUUGAGUAUUCACCCAGAACUGGAAAGUGGGUGCCCCUGAUCUUUGUCCUCCAUCCAUCAGGGUGGAAAUGGCAGGAGCAGCCCCUGUGUCCCACUGCCACCUCUUGAUGAUAUUAAAGGUCUUAAGAAACAAAAUGGGAGUGUUCAGGUCUCUGCCAGCCACACCGGGUAGGGAGCACUGGGAGCUGGCAUCCCGGAAGAGCAGAGGGAUGGUCCUGGAUGCACCUACUGGGUGGUUACCAGAGAAUGGGUACCAUGGAGAAGGCUGCCCUUUUGGGGACAGAGCAGUAGCACCCCAGUCCCAACAAUCCUCUGCUGGCAUUGCUGAGCCUUGCCAGUGCAGCCAGGACACUGUGCCAGUGCUAGAGUUGGGGUCUGCGCUGGACUGCCACUGUGGGUCACCAGGACUGGGUGGGAGCUACCAAGGAACACGUGUGCAGGUGUGUUUCAGGGCCUGGGCCCCUGCAGUGUGAGGCACAAUGGGCAUUUCAAAGCCAGAGGUUGGGAGUUGUCUCCAUGGGUCAUGGCAGCCAUGGGAACUCCCCCCUACAGCCCAUGGCUGAUGCUGUGCUCUGCUGCUGCAUGCCAGUGCUUGUGACCUUGGAACUUGCCAUGGAAACCCGUUGAGCUUUACCUCACAGCCAUCGUGGCAGGGAACACCCUUGGAGCUCAGCCUGAGUGGCAGAAGGCAGCUGGGCCUCUGCUUUCCUUUGUUUCCAGGGAUGUGGGGAUACUAACCCCUGCAGAUGUGGUGGUGCAGGGGUGAUGGGAGGCAGGGAUGCUGGUCCUCAGGGAUGCAGGGAUGGAGGGAUUCAGGGGGCUGGGUGUAACUGCAGGGCUGGGAGCAUCACUCCCUGCUGAGUUGUCUGCGGCAGCCCUGGAUGGGGGUGUCCCACCACCCCCUCCUCGGGCUGAGCCGCCACAGGGGCUGUUAGUGAGUCAUGCGUGGGAGCAGGAGGGCUGUCAAUCACCUGCAGGCACUGCCGGCAUGCAGGAUGGUGGCAACAGUGCUGGCAGUGUCACCUGUAGAGCUGGAAGGUGUGGAGGAGGCACCAAGAGGGAGACAGAGGGGAGGCACCUGUGUCCCCACUGCCCCCUUAAAACAGCACGCCACAAGCCUCAACUACACCAGUGUGUGGCUCAGGCCCCUCGUUGUGGCAGGGUGAGGACCCAGGUGUUGGGGAGAGAGGAAGAACCUUCACCACCCCUGGUUUCAUGACCCCUCUCCCAUUCUGCUGUGCCAGGCUACCCCAUGGGGCUUCUGGUGCCUAGGACUCUGUGGGCCGGGAGCAGAUGCCUGGCACCAAACCUCAGGGAUGUGCCAAGAAAUAACGUUAGUGCUCAGCUUUUUUAGAUACUCAUCCAUUCACUUAUCCAUCCAUCCAUCCAUCCAUCCAUCCAUCCCUCCCUUUCUCCCUCCUUCCUUCCCCACCUCUAUCUCUCCCCCAUCCCACCACCAUUCCCUCAAUCCCCCCUUCCUUCAGCAGCCUACCUGUGUCUCUGGUCAUGCAACUGUCCCUCUUAUCCUCCUUCCCACUCACCACCAGGACAUCCAACCACUUCAUCUUGCCCUGCUCCAAACAAACGCUGACUCCUAGCCAGCCAAGCUUCCAGCCAGAGCUGGGUCUGUCCUCCCUGCACCCCACAACAGACUGGGGGCAGAGUGUGGGUGCAGCAGGGGAUGCUGGGGACCCUUCUGGAUCCCAUGAACAUGAGAUUUGGGGUUCACUUCAUCUCUAACCAUGUUCUUUGGGGAAGGGAUUGAUAGGGAGCUGCUGGUGGCCCACUUGAGGGAAGCUGGGAGUGGGCAGGAGGGAUGCAAUGGUGGUGCUGGGAACCCCUGGAUCCCAUAAGCAUGAAGUUGGGUUCUCCUCAACUUCAUACUGUUUUCUGAGGGAAGAGAUGGGCAGUGAGCUGCUGACAGCCCAUCUGAGGGUAGCCAGGAUGCAGUGGUGAUACUGGGGACCCCCCUGCCCUGAUGUCUUCAAGCCCAGUGAAAGGAGGAGGGGCCAGGACACUCUGCAGCACCAGCACUACUGCUGCACUGAGCUGGUACAGCAUUGCCCUGUGGAGGGAUGGAUCCAGCCAGGAGCCUGUCACUCCAGAGCGGGAUGGAUGGGGCCUCUCUCCAGCUCUCGCUAUUCAUAGUGCUGCGGAGGCGAGCGCCAUGUGACACCCCACAUCGGCAAGUGAUUAAUUGCAGAGACAUUUACAAACAACUUAAUAAACUGGCAUUGGGGGGGGGGGUUGGGCACGUGAGGGUGUCUUCUGGCUCCUCCACAGCCACAGGCUGGGACUCAGCUGGGACCUGGCUGAGACCCACAGCCUCUUCCCGGAGUGCCAGAGCCCUUGGAACCGUCACUGUCCCUGUCCUUGCCCAUGGUCUGGUGGUGGUGGGAGCAUCAGUGACCUUGUGUGCCAGACACAUGGAUUAGUUGAAUGCCAGGCUUGAUGCUGCUAUUCCUGAAUGCUGCCAUUCCUGAGGUGCUGCCUGCCCUGAGUGCUGCCCUUCCUGGGCAUUGUGUCUUGUGGUGGGGAUACCUGACAUUCACCGUCCUCAUCUCAGGUACCCUGAGGAGGAGGCAGGUGGUGGCUGGACACCCCGGCAUGAUGCCACAAUCACUCCAUGGCAUCAGUACAGGUUGUUUCCACGGGUUCUCCCCUGCAUCCCGCACCCAGGGCAGCUCAGCCCACCACUCUGCAUCCCACUGAGUGGCUUCUACCCCUGCACUCCCCCUUCCCCCUCAGUAAUGAACUCAGCAGAUUAUCGGGUCCUGGGUUAUUAGAGAGCAGCCAUACUCCAGCAGACUUUAAACCAGUCAUUAUUCCGUCAACAGCCCCAUUAAACUGUCACUGGCUUUU